GGGGUUAGCACUAGAUUUACAAGAGCUGAGUUUCCAUUUACUUACCUUGUGUGUCUAAUAUUUUACCUGAGUAGGAGAAAUGAGUACUGCAAUGAUAUCAUCAAGAAUGUGAAAACCAAGCUUCAUUCAUGGAAAGGCAAGCUACUGUCCUAUGGAGGAACUACAAGAAAUCUGAUAUUUAGUGGCGACUGAUGUUAUCGCCACAAAUGAUAAGUGUUUAAUGGCGACAACUAUUAUCUCCGCUGAUAGCAUAAUAUUAGUGGUGACUAUGAAUGAGUCGCUACAAAAUAUAAUGUAUCUGGCUAUUCUGGCCGCAGGUGCGGUGAACGCCACAUAACACAAUGGCUUUUGUAGUGACUCUUGGUGUCGCCGCUAAAUGUACUAUAUUAAGUCGCCCCAAAGACGAAAAAAAGGAAAACAAAAACCCUAAAGUAACAAAUCUCCUCCUUAUAAAUUAGCUAACACUCCAGCGUCUUAACCCCAAAUCACCUUUCUCCUACAACAUGCUUCUCGCUGAAGAGGACCACACACCGUCGGUGGUGAACAUGCUCCUUCUUGUCUCAUUAUCUGGCGAAUCGAGUGCUGACUUCCUUCCUCAUUUCUUCCUCUCUCUAGAUUUUGUGCUCUCUGUUUUCACAAGGCGAAAAAACCUAAUCUCUUUUUCUCUAUUGUGAUGGUUUACGAAUUAUCAUCAUAUUCAGAAGAAGCUAUUAUACCUGACUGUGACUGGUGUGUUUGUGCAACGCAAGGCUCAUGGGCUUUUAUGCUUGAAUACUGCUCAGUGCUUGGUGCUUUGGAGUGCUAAGUUCUAGGUAGUUACUAAUCUAUCCUAAGUAUGUGCAAAGGAUAAUGAUGCACCUUCUUUUGGGCAGUACCAAGGAGCGGAACAAUGGGAGCUGCCAAUAUUAUCCUAACUUGCUUUUGGUCAGGCUUUUUCUCUCCCACCUUUGGCUGCAUCUAGGACAUGAAUGUUUGUUAGUUGAAUUCCAAAAUCAUAUUCUUUAGGGGGGAGGGAAUGGUGCUAGCCAAGGAGGAGCUCCAAAACAUUAUAUUUAUCUUUGUUCUUUUGUGCAUUUCAUGUAUAUGUAAAACUACAAUAUGUUAUGAAUUUGUUAAUAAAAAGCUCUGGUACAACUUCGUUUGAGAAAUGUCUUUAUCUGUGUCUCUUCUAACGUUAUGGAUUAUUCCAACACAUUUGAGAAAUAUUUGUAAAACUAUUACAGCAUCAUAAUUUUUUUUAACAAGAAAAACCUAUUUGUGGCGACUAAAGUUGUCACUAAUCAACAAGCUAUUGUGGCGACGGAGACUUGCUGCUGAAGGUUCCAUGGUUUUGUAGCGACUAAAGUUGCCAGUAAAAGCCAUUCUCCAGGGGUAUUUGCUUAUUGUGGCGAUGGAGACUUGCUGCUGAAUGUACGCUUGUUUUGUAACGACUAAAGCCGCCACUAAAAGCCAUUAUCAGGAGUAUUUGCUUACUUAUUGUGGCGAGUUUAGUCGCCACAAAUUGUUGCUUUUUGUGGAAACUACCAAAGGUCGUCACAAAUAACCUUCAGUAACGGGAAUACAUGCAGCGAGUCCAAGGUUGCUGCUAUAUGUUUAUAGUGGCGACUUUGGGGGCUUUUGUAGCGACAUUGGUUGCCACAAUAAGGUGUAUUUCUUGUAGUGAGGUAAAGCAACACUCAUAUCAAGUGUGCUCCAAAGCAUGCCUACACGCAUUCUGUUAGUGUUGGAUCCUCCCGAUAACAUAUUAGAGCAUCUACAUAAGACAUUUGCUAGGUUUUUUUGGAGUACAAAGGAAGAAGGCAGAAACAGGCACUAGACUAAAUGGCAAAACCUAUGUCUACCUAAAGAUGAGGGUGGACUAGGUUUUAGGUCAUUGUUUGAUGUAUCCAAAGCUUGUUUUCUAAGUUAUGGUGGAAGUUCAGGACAUCCAAAUCCUUAUGGUCCAAUUUCAUGUGGAAUAAAUAUUGCAAGAAGGAGAUACCUACAAUGGUUUAAUUUAGAGAGGGGUCACAUAUAUGGAGGAAAAUGUUGGAAGCAAGGGAGGAAGUGGAGCAUGAAGUACUUUGGGAGAUGAAUAGGGGCUCUACAAAUGUAUGGCAUGAGAAUUGGACUCAUCUUGGUGCUUUGUAUCAUGUACUACCUCCAGACAUUUACAUUAAUGAAGAUCUUCAAGAAGUAGCAGAAUUGAGGAAUGAGGAUGGCUAGAAUGAACAACUACUGGAGCAGUCUUUUUCCAGAUGAUAUUGCUGAUCAUAUAAGGCAUGAAGUGCACUUUCAAAAUGAUGAUGAAUUCUGGGACACACCUAGGCGGAUGCCUACCUCCUCAGGAUCAAGGGUUAUGCUUCAAUGGCAAUCAAGAGGUACUUUCACAAAAAGAGAAAAAAAGGUAUAUCACUACAGGAAAUAUGAGCUAUGACGACAUUUAAUUAGUGAUAUUUAUAAUAAAUGUAGGGAGAAAGUUCAUUUCGUGACAUUUGUUAACAAAAUGUGGCAAAAAUACUAACGUUUGAUGACAAAUGACAGAAAUACUGUGACAUUUGAUAGAAAUGUCACAUAAUUAAGAAUAAAAUGACAUUUAAUUAGUGAUAUGUACAGCAAAUGUCAAAAAAAGUUACUAGUUUCAAAAAAGAAAGAGAUUUUUUUUUCCAAAUCUCCCUCUCAAAUCUCUAAAAAACCCUACUCCGCAACCUCCCUCUCUUAGAACAAUUAAGUUCAUUUUCCCCCUCCCCAGUUUCUCUAUCCCGUCCGAAUCCUUACACCCCAACCAUGAAUCUCAAAAUCCUUCAGGAAUAGCAGUUUGAAAUGUAUUCUCUUCUUGCUUAAUUCCGUAUUUCCUUCUCUUUGUCUACUGUGCAUUGGAAUAACUCUAGGUUAGCAUUUUUCUUUAUCUCUUGAUUGGAUUCAAAUUCUUCCUUAUUUCUUGCGAGUGUUUUGAUUUCUCAGAGGAUUUCAAUCAUAUUUAUUGCAUUUGCCUGUGUCCUAUGUAUUUGCAGCAGAGGAAUUGAGAGUUUAGGGUUUUGAAGCUUAAUCUAUGUUCUGAUUUUAUUUUGUGGUUGUGAUUGUGUGGUGAUUUGGAGAUAUGUUUGUUUGAAUGGAAGUUGUGUGGGGUAUUAUUACACAAUAUGCUAAUGGCGGUAUUACAUUCACAGAUUUAUGCCCUACGGCUGUUUGACAAAAUGCCUGAUAGAGCAUCUUAAACACUAUGAUCUUUCCUAUUGUUUGUGGAGUUGCAGUGAGAAAGUCCAGAGUGUGGCAACUUAUGGUUGACUACCUCAGACAACCUUGUUGUCUCAAUUCAAUAGUGUCAAAUGGGUGGAAGCGCAAGGAAAUUGGAGCUGAAGGGAUGUAGCAGAAAAAGUGGAAGAAAGAGUUGAGGAAGUGAAAAAAUCUGUUGCAGAAUUUGCUUGUAUCCAUCCAGCCUAAUAGUUUCUUUCUACCAUUGUUUAAUUGUAAGGAUGUGCUGCUAUUCACAAAUACAUUCUUGUAAUUAGUUACA